rnacentral:rRNA from 1 species
AGCGAACGUUAGCGGCGCGCCUAACACAUGCAAGUCGCACGAGAAACGGAGCAAUCCGCGGUACAGUGGCGCACGGGUGAGUAACACGUGGAUGACCUUCCCUGGAGUGGUGGAUAACCUGCCGAAAGGCGGGCUAAUACAGCAUAGGACCACGACGCUUUGGCGAUGUGGUGAAAGCGGGCCUCUAUAUAUAAGCUCGCGCUCCGGGACGGGUCCGCGUCCCAUCAGCUAGUUGGUGAGGUAACGGCUCACCAAGGCAACGACGGGUAGCUGGUCUGAGAGGAUGGCCAGCCACACUGGAACUGAGACACGGUCCAGACUCCUACGGGAGGCAGCAGUGGGGAAUCUUGCGCAAUGGGCGAAAGCCUGACGCAGCGACGCCGCGUGGGCGAAGAAGGCCUC